GAUGAACGCUAGCGGCAGGCUUAAUACAUGCAAGUCGAGGGGGAUUAUUUUUGUAGCAAUACAGAGAUAUGAGACCGGCAAACGGGUGCGGAACACGUACGCAACCUUCCCAAAACUGGUGAAUAGCCCUCCGAAAGGAGGAUUAAUACACCGUAACAUAAUGAAGUGGCAUCACUUUAUUAUUAUAGCUCCGGCGGUUUUGGAUGGGCGUGCGCCUGAUUAGGUAGUUGGCGGGGUAACGGCCCACCAAGCCUGCGAUCAGUAACUGGUGUGAGAGCACGACCAGUCACACGGGCACUGGGACACGGCCCAGACUCCUACGGGAGGCAGCAGUGGGGAAUAUUGGACAAUGGGGGGAACCCUGAUCCAGCCAUGCCGCGUGUGUGAAGAAGGCCUUAUGGUUGUAAAGCACUUUAAGCGAGGAGGAGGCUCUUUUGGUUAAUACCCAGAAUGAGUGGACGUUACUCGCAGAAUAAGCACCGGCUAACUCUGUGCCAGCCGCCGCCGUAACAC
rnacentral:rRNA from 1 species